AUUCAGUCAACAAGUCCCAAAUAGAACGAAACGCGCUUCCUGGAU
rfam:Schistosoma curassoni strain Dakar, Senegal genome assembly, scaffold: SCTD_scaffold0001882